AUCUAUCUUCUUUACUUUUAUAAAGCCCCACUAUCCCUAUCGAAAGCGCAACAAAAAAAUGACCUCCAAGGUUAUUCUUCUCUUUGACGUCGAUGGCACCCUGACGCCGCCUCGCAAUCCGGAAACCCUGGACAUGAAGCAGACGCUGGCGAAGGUUCGUGCAGCUGGCUUCAAGCUUGGCGUCGUCGGUGGCUCCGACUUUGCCAAGCAGAAGGAGCAGCUGGGCGAGUCGAUUCUGGAGGACUUUGACUAUGUGUUUUCCGAGAACGGUCUAUUGGCCUACAAGGAUGGCAAGGAAUUCCACCGAAACAGCUUGCUGAAGGCUCUUGGGAACGAGAAGGUGGUGGCAUUUGUAAAGAAGUGUCUGCACCUCAUCGCCGAUUUGGACAUUCCAGUGCAGCGCGGCACGUUUGUGGAGUUCCGCAACGGUAUGUUCAACGUCUCUCCCAUCGGCCGCAACUGCUCGCAGCAGGAGCGUGACGAGUUCGAGCAGCUUGACAAGGAGCGCCAUAUCCGUGAGAAGCUCAUCAGGAACCUCAAGGAGGCCUUCCCGGACUACCCGCUUGCCUAUUCCGUAGGCGGUCAAAUCAGUUUCGACGUCUUCCCGAAAGGGUGGGAUAAGACUUACUGCCUUCAGUUUGUCGAAAAUGAUUUUCAAACGAUUCACUUUUUCGGUGAUAAGACGUCAGAGGGCGGCAACGAUUAUGAGAUCUACACUGAUUGUCGCACAAUCGGUCAUUCUGUGAAGACAUAUAAGGAUACGAUUGCGAUUCUUGAGUCACUCCUCGAGGAGUCGCGGUGAAUCUAUAUCAUCACCUGUGAUCUCCAGUAUUUAGCUUCUGCAAGAAGCACUGCUUGAAAAAAAAAGACUCUCAUUUUUCUUUAGUGCUACUUACAUUUUGAAAGGGGCUACAAUUCAAAUUGGCUCUCUCAUAUGUAAUGGAGUCUAUUUUUUGUUUGUUUCCGGUCAGUCUACAACCCUCCAUCUCUUCCUUUUUUCCCUUCUGAGCUCCUAACACACGAGAAGGUUUAUGCCACGGAAAGGAGUUUAGUUGAGUGACUUAUCACCUUUUGCGCAUCCUGCGACAGCCGCAACUUCCGAUUUCGGUCGAAC
rnacentral:misc_RNA from 1 species